UGUGAAGUAGGCGGUGCCGCCGCACAGCCGUCACUGCUGCGCAGGGGCGGGAACCGCCUCCCCGCGCCACGAAGAAAAAAUCUUGUGAUGUAGAAGAAAGAAGAAAAAUGGAGGAUGUAGAAGGACUUCCUUUGCUCUCUCUCCAUGGAUGUUAGAAAUGGACAAGACCAA